CCUACGGGAGGCAGCAGUGGGGAAUAUUGCACAAUGGGCGCAACCUGAUGCAGCCAUGCCGCGUGUAUGAAGAAGGCCUUCGGGUUGUAAAGUACUUUCAGCGGGGAGGAAGGGAUUAAGGUAAUAACCUUAGUCAUUGACGUUACCCGCAGAAGAAGCACCGGCUAACUCCGUGCCAGCAGCCGCGGUAAU
rnacentral:rRNA from 1 species